rnacentral:miRNA from 1 species
AUACAGGUACUCCAGUUGUUGAAAAAAAUCUGCGUAUAAGUGGACCCAUGCAGUUCAAACCGGUGUUGUUCAAGGGUCCACUGU